rnacentral:rRNA from 1 species
GACAGAGGGUGCAAACGUUGUUCGGAAUUACUGGGCGUAAAGCGCGUGUAGGCUGCCCCGCAAGUCGGAUGUGAAAGCCCUGGGCUCAACCUAGGAAGUGCAUUCGAAACUGCGGGGCUGGAGUUCUGGAGAGGAAGGCGGAAUUCUCGGUGUAGAGGUGAAAUUCGUAGAUAUCGAGAGGAACACCGGUGGCGAAGGCGGCCUUCUGGACAGUGACUGACGCUGAGACGCGAAAGCGUGGGGAGCAAACAGG